UGUUAGAUAAUGCCUAAAAAAGAUAUAAUGGGUAUAAUGAACAAUCGCAGCUGAUGAUUUUAAAUAUAUUGUCUUUUUUUCAACUGGAAAAGGAACAAGUCCGAAACGGAAUUCCACUUCAAAUUGAGAAUGUGAUACAGCGAGCCGCAGAUGCAACAAAAUUGAACACAACAACGAUCGCAAAUAUAAAGAAGAAUGGGAUAAAAUCAGAUCAGGAUUACGCAGCCCGUAUAUCUUCAAAGCAAAAGAUAGCAAAAACCAAAAUUACAACAUAUUUGAAACAUAGAAUUCGGGACACAAUUUAUUCUAUGUACGCCAGAAAAGAAUAUGUAAUAUUGGCAACAAUAAGAGAAAAGUUCAGGGAAGAAAUUGAAUAUUUUGAGUUUGCCAUUGACUCCUUAAAAAGAUGGAUCAAUAGUAUAGGCUUCAAGUGGAAAAAAUCAAAUAACAGAAAAUAUUUGAUAGACUUGCCAAAUAUUGUUCAUAAAAGAAUCAAUUUUUUAAGGGAGUAUAUCAAAAAUAGAAAUGUAGGUCCGGAAGGUUUUACUCCAGUUUUCGUUGACGAAACGUGGAUUUUUAGCAAGGGAUCAUUUCGUAGUAGCUGGCAAAAAUUUUCCAAAAAGCUGAAGAGAAGGGAAGCAGUAUAUGAUCUCAUUUUUCCCACAUAUAUGGUACAGGUUCAACUUCUUUCAGGACCAAGUUGUGGACCACUUCAAAAUGCCCCUCCAUUCUCCAACUUCUCAUAACUCUUCGAUUUUUUAUGUUCUCAAGUGCUUAUGAAAAUGUUAGGUUCGUUCUUACUCUUGCUUCAAGCUACCCGUGGAAGGGAUUACAAUCGUGGAUGUCUAAUAUUACCACAGAUUUAACGAGACAAACAGAUAAGUAAAGCAAUGCAUUAAAAACGGUACACCGAAUGGAUCCCAACUUUAAAAAGUUAAGAUCCAUUGGACUUCGACCCGACGGAUUCGCUCCUCGGUCCGUGCUUAGUUGCCAAUACAAUUUUGUAUAAGGAAGGUUUUUAUCUAUUUUUAGUAUUUUAGGAAAAAUGCCUGCUUCGGUCUGCGCUGGUUGGAUUCAUUGCGGCCGUCGGCGAUGAACGGCGUUGAGUCGAUGAGCGUCUUUACCCUUUUAUUUAGGAACUAGGCAAAUUGAAAAUUAUUGUAAAUGAUUCUCACUUUACUCCCGUGCGUUCUAUGGGUCUGAUAGUCUGAUCUUUAUAAAAGACAUAAUUGCGUUUUCAAUAUGCUUCCACGUUUAAGGGUUACUGCAGCAGGCAAGAAAUUUGUGAUGUUUGGAUUUUUAAUAGUGGAAAUACACAACUAGUCGGUGUUCCGGAAGAUAUGCUUAAAAACAAAUGUAUUUGCGAAAGACAUUUUACAGAGAAUGACUGGAAAACGGAAAAAAGACAUCGAUUAAAAGACAGUGCGGUUCCUAUUAAUUAUAAAUGUUUAUUGGACAGUGAACAGAAUUUACGCGUUUUAACGCCCAAAAAGACCUAUACAAAUAUCAAGACUAACGUGUCAUUAAGUGAUAGUCCGUGUUUCCACCUUCCAAGAGAAAAAUGAAAUUUGAAGAAGAAAACGAGUUUGUUAAAAAAAUUAUCGACUUUCCGGAUACUCUUACAGUAUACUAACAGUCCAAGAAAAGUAAAACUUAAAAAUAAAAUCUCUUAUUAAAGGAAAAAAAUACAUAAUAUUAAGAGAAGAAUUACUCGGUUGAGAGAAAAAGUUCGCAAGUGCAAAUUUUCAAUUUUUAAUUUGUUACCUUUUUUAUCAUUCUUAUCCAUACCUGCAAAAACGUUUGUUAUGAUGCAAGUACGGGGUAAACGUCGUACUUUAUAUUCCCGCAACGAAAAGGAGUUGGCGGUCUCCCUGUACUAUAAAUCACCAUCGUGUUACAAUUUUUUAAGAAGAAAAGGCAUUAUAUUACCAUCUACGUCAACCAUUCAAAAAUGGAUUGGUCAAAAUACAUUUAAGACUGGCGUAGAUGAUAAUAUAAAAACCUGUCUUAAGCUGAAGUGAAGUGUGCAGGUAUGGAUAAGAAUGAAAAAAAAUGUUUGGUGGCUUUUGAUGAAAUGUCAAUCAAAAAAUGCCUCGAAUAUAAUAAAAAACUGGACCUAAUAGAAGGUUUUGAAGACUUAGGUCCUCUAGGACGAAAACCAAGGGAAGCCACUCAUGUCUUAGUUUUUUCUAUUAGAGGCAUAUAUUCAUCAUGAAAAUUUCCACUUGCAUACUUUUUCUCUCACACCACUACAAGUGGCAAGAAUUUAAAACUUUUGAUUUUUUACGUUUUAAAAUCUCUAAAUGAGAUAAAUGAGAGACCAAGGAAGUCCUAAUAGGGCAGGUUUUAAAUUAUUGAGUGUUACUAAGGAACGACCUUUUUUUUAUUAUAAUGAUUUAAAAAUUUUUGCUCUAUUUGAUGCUCCGCAUCUUUUCAAAAGUAUUAGGAACAAUUUGUUGUCGGGAACUUUUAAGUUGGGAAAUAAGAGUAUAUGUUUCAAUGUUAUUAGGAAAACGUAUGAAAUUGAUAAAUCUUCAUCUACAACAAGAACUCUUCCCAAAAUUACCGAUAAACAUAUUUUUCCUUAUGCAUUUGAAAAAAUGUCAUGCUCCUUAGCGCU
rnacentral:lncRNA from 1 species